UCAGUGACACCUGUGUUCUCCAGUAGUUCACCUAUCGGGCGCACACACGCCCGACCAAUAUCAUUCCGGCACCGUUCACUUCGCAAACGCGCGAACCUGCUACCAGUAUGUAAACCAGUAUGUAUUUGUCGAAUCGCAAAGGCGUCUGAGGUACGAGGUGAUUUUGAAAGGCAGACGUCGACUCGUAAAAUUCGUGAAAAACGAACGAAACGGAUGAAACGCGUGUACAAAUCCACGUUAACGUUUACGCGUUCGCAAGCAGGAAUUGCGAAACGUCGAACUCAACGACACGCCGCGUCGUUGUCACAGUGAAUAUAUACUUUGUCGAAUUCGAGAAAUCUCUGCCAGUUAAAAAAUCCUCUGUCGCCAAUUGAGAUUUUUAACAUCCGGAGUCAAUUUAUGUACGUAGAUGUUUGAUUCCAUAAUGGUUCAACGACGAGGCGAUUGACGGUGGCUAUACAUCCAAGGAAAAAUAUGAAAAUGAACUGUUGAAUCAUUUUGACGGUUGAAAAAAUUCACUUACAUCGAAAGAAGAAUAUAAUACAAUAAGAAUAAAACGCAUUGACAGAAGAUAAAAGAAGUAAAAUAAAAUAGAGAAUGAAAUACAAAUGAAACAGAAAAAUAUAAUAGAAAUGAUCAGAGAAUGAUACGUGAAUAAUUAACGACUAAAUUGGCGCAUUUGUAAGAAACGAUCAAAAAAUAUUCGCCUUUCGGUAAAUAGGUACACUCUACCGAGACUUUGAGACACGUAAUAUUAUUGUUGAACAUGCUCUUACGAGAGAGAAGAGGGAGAGAGAGAGAGAGAGAGAGAGAAUCGUUUUACCGAGGACGCGAAGAGGAAGAUAUGCAGAUCGUAUGGUAAUCGUGCCGCAAGACAGGCGCAACCUGUAUCGCGUUGCGCUUUGGAAAAAAGCGAAAGCGGGAAAGAAAGUGGGGGUAAAAAUAGGAGAAGAAGGGAUCCUAAAGUCUACGAUUUUCAAUUUUCAACUGACCUGCUGGCGCACUAUAAAUUUCGACAUCGUAGCGAUUAUUACAUUGGGAACAAUUUGAAACCAAUUUGAAGGUGCGUAUAGGAGCAUAAACUUGGCGCGUAGUACAAAUAAUACAGUGUUUAAGUACUCUUGUAUUUUUAUAUAUUAAUAUAUACAAAAUAUAUAUCAUUCUGUACCUUGUAACUUU